ensembl:snRNA U6 U6 spliceosomal RNA
AUGCUUCGGCAGCACAUAUACUAAAAUUGGAACGAUACAGAGAAGUUUAGCAUGGCCCCUGUGCAAGGAUGACACGCAAAUUCGUGAAGCGUUCAAUUUUUUG